UGGGGAAUAUUGCACAAUGGGCGAAAGCCUGAUGCAGCAACGCCGCGUGAAGGAUGAAGGCCUUUGGGUCGUAAACUUCUGUCCUUGGGGAAGAAAAAAAUGACGGUACCCCUGGAGGAAGUCCCGGCUAACUACGUGCCAGCAGCCGCGGUAAUACGUAGGGGGCGAGCGUUAUCCGGAAUUAUUGGGCGUAAAGAGUACGUAGGUGGUUUUUUAAGCGCAGGGUUUAAGGCGAUGGCUCAACUGUCGUUCGCCCUGUGAACUGGAAGACUUGAGUACAGGAGAGGAAAGCGGAAUUCCUAGUGUAGCGGUGAAAUGCAUAGAUAUUAGGAGGAACACCAGUGGCGAAGGCGGCUUUCUGGACUGUAACUGACACUGAGGUACGAAAGCGUGGGGAGCAAACA
rnacentral:rRNA from 1 species